rnacentral:rRNA from 1 species
AUUGAACGCUGGCGGCAGGCCUAACACAUGCAAGUCGAACGGUAACAGGAAGAAGCUUGCUUCUUUGCUGACGAGUGGCGGGCGGGUGAGUAAUGUCUGGGAAACUCCCUGAUGGAGGGGGAUAUCUACUGGAAACGGUAGCUAAUACAGCAUAAUGUCGCAAGACCAAAGAGGGGGACCUUCUGGCCUCUUGCCAUCGUAUGUGCCCAGAUGGGAUUAGCUAGUAGGUGGGGUAACGGCUCACCUAGGCGACGAUCCGUAGCUGGUCUGAGAGGAUGACCAGCCACACUGGAACUGAGACACGGUCCAGACUCCUACGGGAGGCAGCAGUGGGGAGUAUUGCACAAUGGGCGCAAGCCUGAUGCAGCUAUGCCGCGUGUAUGAAGAAGGCCUUCGGGUUGUAAAGUACUUUCAGCGGGGAGGAAGGGAGUAAAGUUAAUACCUUUGCUCAUUGACGUUACCCGCAGAAGAAGCACCGGCUAACUCCGUG